ACCCAUUUAACUUUAAGUUGCUGCAGUCUCUGAUCUGAAGACAAACAAACUACAAGUUGUCAUGGGCGCUGGGGGUGCAAGAAACCAACACAAGACCUGACAUAUCAGUUUAUUUAAAACAGGAUCCUCAUAUGCUGUGGCACACAACACCUGAGUUGCUGGCAGCUUGCGAGGAAAGAGGAACAGUGGGAGGCUUGUGAUGACUAAAGCAAACCCAAUGAAUACGAAUCCUGGUCAGAAAAAACAUCAUGAACAUUAAUCCUGUUGAGAGAGCAUAAUAUGAACAUAAAUUCUAAUUAUAGAACAUAAAACAAAUUCUGGUUAGAGAAUAACAUUGAACUUUAGGUACACACUAACCCAGGGGUGGGCAAAGUAUGGCCCGCGGGCCACAUUUGGCCCGCCAAAUUAUUUUUGUGGCCCGCCACUGCAUUUGUAUUUACAAAUACAAGGCUUUACUUUGUGUUAAUAUAAUACAUUUGCAUCUACAUUAAGUGGGUGGCCCGCGAAGUGUGCCACCAUUCAUGAAGUGGCCCUCCAUCAAAAAUAAUUGCCCACCCCUGCACUAACCUAUAAGUACAAUAAAAAAAAUUAUACAAGAAAUGGCUACUUCAGAUACUGUACUCUUUAUUUUUUACUGUCUGAAGAAAGAUUGUUUGACCCCCCUUUAAUAAAUCUUGUAUCCAUCCCUUCCAUGAUAACUAAACUACCAGUAAUGUUUUACCCAGCCACCAAGCUCCCAGCCAUCGUGGGUCUUCCUUGUCAAUAUUGGGUUCCUUGGAUAGGUCAAUCCAGAUAGAAAGGCAUCUGCCGCCAAUGAAGAACCCGAAGACUGGCCCUAAGAUCCUUAGAAGCAUCGUCAUGGCUGUUGGAGAAGAAAUAAUUAGAAAUGUUGUUGUACUGUACUGUAUUUGGUAGAUCAGGUUGUCAGGUAUGAUGUGGUUUGGAGGUAGUGUGCUGUCCAUUGUGAUGCAGUUUCCCCUUGUACAGUAUUAACAUUGGACUCAUGAUGGACAAACUCAGUGGGGACAAAGACAUCAGCUUCUUUCCCCAAACAACACAAUAGCUUACAGAGCUUUGGUGGUUGGGUUAUUAUGCCAUUUAUUUUAUUAGUGACUAAUGUUACACAAACUGACAAAGAUGUUAUAUUUGAUUAGAGAGCUUUGAGAAAAUGCUGUGGAACCACAUAACCACUUGGUUUAAUAUUUUGCAUUGUCAAACAAACACAGAAAGGUCUAAACUGAAUCACAUAGUUCUUUGUCCAGUACCUGGUUAGUAAAAUAAUGUUCUUACCAGCAGCCACUUUACCUUACUGGUACAAGUGUUUACCUAGUAAGGACAGAGGAAGUGGUAUAACAACAUGUGGCUACAUUAUAAAGCCGACAAGUGGGCCAGAAGAUAAAAAUAAAGUCUGGCUAGGUAAAGUUACCCUCUACUCAUACCUUAAAAAAGAUCAAAGGUUUUGGGCAAGAAAAUGUUCAACAAGAUCUCAUUCAACAAAUUACCUGCAAACUAGAUUACUGUUCCAAAUAUAUUUUAAUUACUUUGUUAAGAAGAUUUACUUGUAUCCAAAGUGUCAUCCUUCAUGUUUUAUGUGGUUUUUGCCAUCCUAAUUAGACAAUUAGGUUGGGUUAAAUCAUCUAUUGAGUAUAGGAAUAAUCUUCUAAUUGGGAAUUCCUUAGUGGAAUGUAAUCUGUAAACAAUAGUUGAAGGUUUUUGUUAACAGGAAUGAUCUGACCUUUCUGAUAAUGAAAAAUAAAUUAAGAAUGAAUUAUAUACUAUCUAGACUGCAUAGCAAAUGUAGAAGUUGCCAUGGUGAAUAUGUGUGUCAAAAAUGAGCAUUUUGGCUCUUUCUAUUCUCAUGUUGCUGAUAUACAUACUGUACUGUAAAUAGAUAAAUUUCACUAUUGGUGA